CCUCCUUAUAACGAAGUUACACUUACAGAGUGUUCACACAAAUAAUUAAUUACGAAGUUUUAAGAGAGCUCUAACCCAUGCGCACAGUAUGUGCUCAUCAGUUAGGGUUUUUAACCCGGACGUGUAAACGUCAUGCUCUUUAACAAUUUGGAAAGCUGAUAAAAUAAGGUAAACAUUAUUGUUUAUUUAAUUUGUUAUUCAACAAUUUAAAAAAUAAUUUUGAUUAUCACUGUAAGAGAAAACUCAAGCGUUAUUUAUGUCAAAACGAACAUGCCUAUACAACAUGUUUCGUUAAUAAAUAUGACACAAGACGAUGCAAUCGAGAAUGUGAGAACAUUUAAGGUUGUAUGGUUAAGUGAAUAAGCGUAUACGGUGG
rnacentral:misc_RNA from 1 species